AUUGUCUUAUUAGGUGUUAUAUAUCGCCAUUUGGAAGCGUAUUUUAGCAACCUUGUUUUUAGGCUGAAGCAUUUCGAGGAAAGGCUUCGUGUGUUUCGGUCAUACUCGUCAUGUGGCGUGUGGCUGUUACCCUGUGUCUGCUAUGUAUGGUUCUACUGCAGACGACAUUAUCCGCAGAGAUACGCCGUUUUCGGAGGUGCCCUUGGAGGCGAGACGCCCUCGGGAUAGGCAGAUGCUGCGACAAAUCCGCCAUCCCAGGAUGCAUUUGCCAGAGCCGAAUAGAGCUGCCAGCAGAUAUGAUGGCGCGAGAGUGCACUGCUGUUGAAAAACCAAACAGGGAUCCGAAGGAACCCAUGUGUCACUGGCGGUACGAUGAAUAUAUCAAACUGGGAAUAUGUUGCAAAUACACGGGAGCAUGCCGCUGUUUACCCAUCACCAUGGACUUCGGACUGUACAGACAUUGCGGGGACCCAGUGCCGAAAAUGCGAUAGACGUUUCAAUUGAGGACAAUAUGAAUGGAAGAACUGCUCAAGAUUCAUAGAACUGUAUUAGAUUCCUACAGCAAAAGUUAUCGAAAAGACACUGUGAGAAAAGCACGUUUUCUUUUAUUAGUGCGAAUACUUUAAUUUGUGGAUUGAUUUGAUACAAAUUGCCACUCAGUUUUGGAUUGAAAACCACUGCAUUUUUUGAAACAAACUUUCUACGGUGACUAAUAAAAGUCUUAUCAGUUAGAAUCAUUUUCAGUUUCAGGCUAUUUGCAAUGAAAACGUUGUUAGAAAUAUGUUGAAU